UACGAAGGGGGCGAGCGUUGUUCGGAUUUACUGGGCGUAAAGGGUGCGUAGGCGGCGCGGUAAGUCGGGUGUGAAAUCUUGGAGCUUAACUCCGAAACUGCAUUCGAUACUGCCGUGCUUGAGGACUGGAGAGGAGACUGGAAUUUACGGUGUAGCGGUGAAAUGCGUAGAUAUCGUAAGGAAGACCAGUGGCGAAGGCGGGUCUCUGGACAGUUCCUGACGCUGAGGCACGAAGGCCAGGGGAGCAAACAGG
rnacentral:rRNA from 1 species